GAUGAACGCUAGCUACAGGCUUAACACAUGCAAGUCGAGGGGCAGCGCAGUGUAGCAAUACAUGGGCGGCGACCGGCGCACGGGUGCGUAACGCGUAUCCAACCUUCCCGUUACUCAGGGAUAGCCUUCCGAAAGGGAGAUUAAUACCUGAUGGUGUUCAAAUUCCGCAUGUUAUUUGAACUAAAGAUUUAUCGGUAACGGAUGGGGAUGCGUGACAUUAGAUAGUAGGCGGGGUAACGGCCCACCUAGUCUACGAUGUCUAGGGGUUCUGAGAGGAAGGUCCCCCACACUGGAACUGAGACACGGUCCAGACUCCUACGGGAGGCAGCAGUGAGGAAUAUUGGUCAAUGGUCGGAAGACUGAACCAGCCAAGUCGCGUGAGGGAAGACUGCCCUAUGGGUUGUAAACCUCUUUAGUCGGGGAGCAAAAAAGCGGACGUGUCCGCCAUUGAGCGUACCCGAAGAAUAAGCAUCGGCUAACUCCGUG
rnacentral:rRNA from 1 species